ACUUCAUAUAUUCCACCUCUCUUUGGGUUUAACAUGGGUUUAUCUCUAAUAGAGGCAGACAUAUGAUGUAAUGAAUUUUCACUUAAAAUUUCAAACAGUUGCCAUGCCUCAUCCUCACUUUUCAGCAUGAAUAUCCCACCACAUGAUGCAUCGAUCAUUUGUCGAUGUCUUUCAGAUAGCCCAUCAUAAAAAUAUUGGAUUAACUGCCACUUG
rnacentral:lncRNA from 1 species